AAUAAUGGUGGGGCGUGCAGGGGAGCCGAAAGGCUCGCCGGGUCCUUUUCAGCCGGUAGUCUCAACCCUGUACGUCUCACCACCCUA
rfam:Leminorella grimontii ATCC 33999 = DSM 5078 strain ATCC 33999 GLGR.assembly.13, whole genome shotgun sequence.